rnacentral:rRNA from 1 species
UACGGAGGAUUCAAGCGAUAUCCGGGUUUAUUGGGUUUAAAGGGUGCGCAGGCGGCGUGUCAAGCAAGCGGUAAAAUAGCGGGGCUCAACCCCGUCGAGCCGUUUGAACUGGCGCGCUUGAGUUCAGGCGAGGUAGGCGGAAUUCGUGGUGUAGCGGUGAAAUGCGUAGAUAUCAGGAGGAACACCGGCGGCGAAGGCGGCUUACUGGACUGUAACUGACGUUGAGGCUCGAAGGCGUGGGGAGCAAACAGG